UACGAAGGGGGGCUAGCGUUGUUCGGAAUUACUGGGCGUAAAGCGCGCGCAGGCGGUCUUCCAAGUCAGUGGUGAAAGCCCGGAGCUCAACUCCGGAACUGCCAUUGAAACUGUUGGACUUGAGUACGAGAGAGGUGAGUGGAAUUCCCAGUGUAGAGGUGAAAUUCGUAGAUAUUGGGAAGAACACCGGUGGCGAAGGCGGCCAUCUGGACGGUGACUGACGCUGAGACGCGAAAGCGUGGGGAGCAAACAGG
rnacentral:rRNA from 1 species